AUUUCUCCUCCAAGGGGGCUGAGAUUGUAAGGUACUUCUUCCACCCAAGUCAUCAUAGCAGCAUUGCUGCAGCGGAGCUGGGUGGGUAACUGCUACCUUUCCUGAGCAAGAGGGCAGGGAGCUGUGGUGAAACCCUGGUGACACUUGGGCGUCACCUCAAGGGCAUGCUGAGGUCCUUGUGGUUUUGCCUGUCCUGCCGGGGUCUCUCCAGAAGUGGUCUGCGGUCUGCAUGCUGGGAAGCGGCACCCUCCGGGUGCAGGGCUGUUGUAUGAGAGUCUCUUCCUGUGCAGAAAUCCAGCUCCUCUGAGCAACCCUCAGUCAGCCCCCUGACUAGCGUGGAGAUGGAGGAGUUCACCAGCCCUGACCUCCUGGAGAUAAUGAUGAAGGAUUGCGAAGAGACUGUAGAAGAGCACCUCACUGUCCACAAGGAUGACACUGUCCCCCCUAAGCGGAGCCUUUCCCCACGGACACACCAGACUCUGUUGGAGGUGGUGACAUGCAUCCUGGCGAAGGUCACCCGCGAGCGCAGGAGACAGAG
rnacentral:lncRNA from 1 species